rnacentral:rRNA from 1 species
GACGAACGCUGGCGGCGUGCUUAACACAUGCAAGUCGAACGGAAAGGCCUGCUUUCCCUUGUGGAUUGCGGGUACUCGAGUGGCGAACGGGUGAGUAACACGUGAGUGAUCUGUCCCCAACUUGGGUAUAAGCCUGGGAAACUGGGUCUAAUUCCCGAUAGGACUGCAGGGUGGUGCCUGUGGUGGAAAACGAUUUUCUAGUGGUUGGGGAUGAGCUCGCGGCCUAUCAGCUUGUUGGUGGGGUAAUGGCCUACCAAGGCGGCGACGGGUAGCCGGCCUGAGAGGGUGGACGGCCACAUUGGGACUGAGAUACGGCCCAGACUCCUACGGGAGGCAGCAGUGGGGAAUAUUGCACAAUGGGCGGAAGCCUGAUGCAGCGACGCCGCGUGGGGGAUGACGGCCUUCGGGUUGUAAACUCCUUUCGACCGCGAGGAAGCCACCUGGUUGGAAGGGUGGUGACGGUAGUGGUAGAAGAAGCACCGGCUAACUACGUG